rnacentral:rRNA from 1 species
UACGUAGGGUCCGAGCGUUGUCCGGAAUUACUGGGCGUAAAGAGCUCGUAGGUGGUUUGUCGCGUUGUUCGUGAAAACUCACAGCUUAACUGUGGGCGUGCGGGCGAUACGGGCAGACUUGAGUACUGCAGGGGAGACUGGAAUUCCUGGUGUAGCGGUGGAAUGCGCAGAUAUCAGGAGGAACACCUAUGGCGAAGGCAGCUCUCUGGGACGGUACUGACGCUGAGACGCGAAAGCGUGGGGAGCGAACAGG